UACGAAGGGGGCUAGCGUUGCUCGGAAUUACUGGGCGUAAAGGGAGCGUAGGCGGACAUUUAAGUCAGAGGUGAAAUCCCGGAGCUUAACUUCGGAACUGCCUUUGAUACUGGGUGUCUUGAGUGUGAGAGAGGUAUGUGGAACUCCGAGUGUAGAGGUGAAAUUCGUAGAUAUUCGGAAGAACACCAGUGGCGAAGGCGACAUACUGGCUCAUUACUGACGCUGGAGGCUCGAAAAGCGUGGGGAGCGAACAGG
rnacentral:rRNA from 1 species